rnacentral:lncRNA from 1 species
GCGCGUUCCGUCUACAUAAAACUCAUCAGUGACGCUCAUAUCAAAAUAUUUAUAAAGCCAAACAAGUACAAAGUUGAAGAGCAUUGAGGAUACAAAUUCCAAAAAGUUGUGCCAAAUACGGCUAAGGUAAUCUAUGCCUGGGAUAAGAAAAUCCUUAGUUUUUCGAAAAAUUCAAAGUUUUGUAAACAGGAAAUUCAUAAAAAUGACCACAUUAUUGAUAUUCAUGUCAACACCGAAGUGUUGACUACUGGGCUGGCGAAA